CAGUAGCCGCGAUAAUACGUAGGGUGCAAGCGUUAAUCGGAAUUACUGGGCGUAAAGCGUGCGCAGGCGGUUAUAUAAGACAGAUGUGAAAUCCCCGGGCUCAACCUGGGAACUGCAUUUGUGACUGUAUAGCUAGAGUACGGCAGAGGGGGAUGGAAUUCCGCGUGUAGCAGUGAAAUGCGUAGAUAUGCGGAGGAACACCGAUGGCGAAGGCAAUCCCCUGGGCCUGUACUGACGCUCAUGCACGAAAGCGUGGGGAGCAAACAGGAUUAGAUACCCGAGUAGUCCCUGUCUCUUAUAC
rnacentral:rRNA from 1 species